rnacentral:lncRNA from 1 species
UGAUUGUUACUGUUAAUGAACAUGAAUUGCACUGCCCAAGUGGUGUCAUUAAAUUUCCCUUCACUUGCAAUAUGGGGAAGGAGUGCAUUUUAUCCCCCGUUGCUUUACUUAUAGUAGUCUAAAAUUAGCAUCUGUUGAAGAAAUGAAAAACAACUGACACUGUUCUGUAACAAAUGAAUUCCAGAAAAAAUGUAGAAGUCAUUUGCAGACCAAGUUUUUAAAUAUAAAAUUAUUGGUUUGCAUAUGAAUUCUAUAACUGCUCAUUGAAUUCGUUUGUUAAAAUGUAGCUUGAACAUGUCAAUGCCAUAGGAGCUUUCAGAUGAGACAGCAGCUGAGCGAUGACUCCAAAAAGACCAAAACUAAUAUAUAACUAAUGAAUGGCACCAACAUAAAAUAAAAGGUCCAAAAGAUUGUUUCAUUUAGCGUGAGCUUAAGAUAUCAGAUUUACAUAUAUGGAGAACCUAUUUACCUUUUCUUUUAAGGAACAGGUGCAGAAAUUAUCAAUCCAAGGAAGAAAAAAGAAUUCUAAGGUUUUAAACAAAUGAUCAUACCCUCAGCAUAAAUAAUCUCAAGGUGAGCACGAUUGCAUCUCUUGAACUGCAAAGAUGGAAAUUGAGUUACAAGAAGAAUAAAAAGAUAUCAAAAUCAGUCACCAUGAAAUGACCACCUGUCUAAAAAUGAAGUUUAUGACUGGAAAGCAUGCAACUAUGGAACUGCAUACCCACCUAUAUAUGCAGGCGUGUCAACUUGUGUGUACUACACAUUUAUAUGAAUACAUGAAUAUAUCAGUUGAAAGUUAAUUAACAUGCAAAUUCUCCUUUACGACUUAAAAAACAUCAGUUCUACAGCAAAAGAAAAAAGGAAAAGUUAAAGAAGUAUCAAGCACAAAAGAAAAUCAUCAAUCAUCCAUGUUCACUGCUUUGCUAAAUUUAGUGGAAGUCUACAUCAAUCAGGUCAUCACGGAAUUAAAAUUUCAAGAUUUGCAGCUGACAAGUAGAAGAAGCUUCAAAACUUACCAUGUAAUAUCCGUUGAAUUAUUAUCAACGCGUAAGAGAUGUUCAAAACCAUUAGAACCAGUUAUUAGAAGCUCCGUUGCUUGCCCAUAUGGAAUUGUAACCUAAGGAAACAAAAAAAAGACAAAAAUAAAAUAUAGUGUGCGAACAGUUGGGGCACCACAAUAGCUAACGUAAGAAUAUAUUAGAUAAAUAUUUGCAAUAAAAGAAUUGAUGUAGGAUAAAGAGAACUUGAAGACAAUGCCUAAAGAUAAUUUAUUAAGAACAAAAGUUGAAAAUCUCGAAUCUCAACAAUCAAAUUGGUAAUUCAAUAGUUAGUUGUAUAAUAAUUACAGAAAUAUUCCAUCAACUACUAAACUAUGAUACCAAUUUAUAAACACCAAAAUAUAUUUAAUUCUAUGUAGCAAUUCUACUAGAAAAGAAAAUAGCUAAUUACCUCAUAUUAUAGUAUAAAGAACUAGAAAAGGAAAUUAAAUCUGC